rnacentral:antisense_RNA from 1 species
CUUGAUGGAGCCGAGCCAGAGCGGCUGUUCCGGAGCGCGGUCGCGGCCGUACGUCGCGAGGAGCGCCUGGGCCUC